rnacentral:rRNA from 1 species
UACGGGGGGGGCAAGCGGUUGUUCGGAAUUACUGGGCGUAAAGGGCUCGUAGGCGGCCAACUCAGUCGGACGUGAAAUCCCUCGGCUUAACCGGGGAACUGCUUCCGAUACUGGAUGGCUUGAGUGUGGGAGAGGGAUGGCGGAAUUCCCGGUGUAGCGGAUGAAAUGCGCAGAUAUCGGGAGGAACACCGGUGGCGAAGGCGGUCUCUGGGCCUUACCUGACGCUGAGGAGCGAAAGCGUGGGGAGCGAACAGG